GGAGAGGUCGCAUAGUGGUCUAGUGCGUUCGCUUGGAAAGCGGAUGUGGUCGUAAGACUACCGCAGGUUCGAAUCCUGUCCUCUCCG
rnacentral:tRNA from 1 species